rnacentral:rRNA from 1 species
UGGGGAAUUUUGGACAAUGGGGGAAACCCUGAUCCAGCCAUCCCGCGUGUGCGAUGAAGGCCUUCGGGUUGUAAAGCACUUUUGGCAGGAAAGAAACGUCGCGGGUUAAUACCCCGCGAAACUGACGGUACCUGCAGAAUAAGCACCGGCUAACUACGUGCCAGCAGCCGCGGUAAUACGUAGGGUGCAAGCGUUAAUCGGAAUUACUGGGCGUAAAGCGUGCGCAGGCGGUUCGGAAAGAAAGAUGUGAAAUCCCAGAGCUUAACUUUGGAACUGCAUUUUUAACUACCGGGCUAGAGUGUGUCAGAGGGAGGUGGAAUUCCGCGUGUAGCAGUGAAAUGCGUAGAUAUGCGGAGGAACACCGAUGGCGAAGGCAGCCUCCUGGGAUAACACUGACGCUCAUGCACGAAAGCGUGGGGAGCAAACAGGAUUAGAUACCCUGGUAGUCCACGCCCUAAACGAUGUCGACUAGCUGUUGGGGCCUUCGGGCCUUGGUAGCGCAGCUAACGCGUGAAGUUGACCGCCUGGGGAGUACGGUCGCAAGAUUAAAACUCAAAGGAAUUGG